AUUGAACGCUGGCUGCAGGCCUAACACAUGCAAGUCGAACGAGUGGCGGACGGGUGAGUAAUGUCUGGGAAACUGCCUGAUGGAGGGGGAUAACUACUGGAAACGGUAGCUAAUACCGCAUAGUAUCGGAUUUGCCCAGAUGGGAUUAGCUAGUAGGUGGGGUAAAGGUUCACCUAGGCGACGAUACCUAGCUGGUCUGAGAGGAUGACAAGCCACACUGGGACUGAGAAACGGUCCAGAGUCCUACGGGAGGCAGCAGUGGGGAAUAUUGGACAAUGGGGGAAAUCCUGAUGCAGCCAUGCCGCGUGUAUGAAGAAGGCCUUCGGGUUGUAAAGUACUUUCAGCGGGGAGGCGUUAUCCGCAGAAGAAGCACCGACUAACUACGUGCCAGCAGCCGCGGUAAUUC
rnacentral:rRNA from 1 species